rnacentral:rRNA from 1 species
GACGAACGCUGGCGGCGUGCCUAAUACAUGCCAGUCGAGCGAACAGACGAGGAGCUUGCUCCUCUGACGUUAGCGGCGGACGGGUGAGUAACACGUGGAUAACCUACCUAUAAGACUGGGAUAACUUCGGGAAACCGGAGCUAAUACCGGAUAAUAUAUUGAACCGCAUGGUUCAAUAGUGAAAGACGGUUUUGCUGUCACUUAUAGAUGGAUCCGCGCCGCAUUAGCUAGUUGGUAAGGUAACGGCUUACCAAGGCGACGAUGCGUAGCCGACCUGAGAGAGUGAUCGGCCACACUAGAACUGAGACACGGUCCAGACUCCUACGGGAGGCAGCAGUAGGGAAUCGUCCGCAAUGGGCGAAAGCCUGACGGAGCAACGCCACGUGAGUGAUGAAGGUCUUCGGAUCGUAAAACUCUGUUAUUAGGGAAGAACAAAUGUGUAAGUAACUAUGCACGUCUUGACGGUACCUAAUCAGAAAGCCACGGCUAACUACGUG